UUCUAUAUGCCGCGAAAACCGGAGACAUUCUUUGCGAAUUGUACGAACCUUCGACGAGUAAAAAAUUUCGUGACGAAAUUCUAAAUUUUCUAUUUCAACUCGUCAAUAAUCGUUUGACUUUUACCGCUUGCCGAUUUUACAAUUUGGAUCAUACAUUUGUAUAUAGUGCGAUCGGUUCAAUUGCAACAUAUCUCAUUAUUCUCAUUCAAGUUGGUGAUAAACCUAAAAUUAGUAUCGAAAAUACAAACAGUAAUUCAACGUUGUGACGUUUUAAAAUGAAAAAAUACAAUGAC
rnacentral:lncRNA from 1 species